GGCGAACGGGUGAGUAAUAUAUCGGAACGUACCCAGGAGUGGGGGAUAACGUAGCGAAAGUUACGCUAAUACCGCAUACGUCCUAAGGGAGAAAGCGGGGGAUCGCAAGACCUCGUGCUCAAGGAGCGGCCGAUAUCUGAUUAGCUAGUUGGUGGGGUAAAAGCCUACCAAGGCAACGAUCAGUAGCUGGUCUGAGAGGACGACCAGCCACACUGGAACUGAGACACGGUCCAGACUCCUACGGGAGGCAGCAGUGGGGAAUUUUGGACAAUGGGGGCAACCCUGAUCCAGCAAUGCCGCGUGAGUGAAGAAGGCCCUCGGGUUGUAAAGCUCUUUUGUCAGGGAAGAAAAGGUUGGGGCUAAUAUCCCGGACUCAUGACGGUACCUGAAGAAUAAGCACCGGCUAACUACGUGCCAGCAGCCGCGGUAAUACGUAGGGUGCAAGCGUUAAUCGGAAUUACUGGGCGUAAAGCGUGCGCAGGCGGUUUUGUAAGACUGUCGUGAAAUCCCCGGGCUUAACCUGGGAAUGGCGAUGGUGACUGCAAGGCUAGAGUUUGGCAGAGGGGGGUAGAAUUCCACGUGUAGCAGUGAAAUGCGUAGAUAUGUGGAGGAACACCGAUGGCGAAGGCAGCCCCCUGGGUCAAAACUGACGCUCAUGCACGAAAGCGUGGGGAGCAAACAGGAUUAGAUACCCUGGUAGUCCACGCCCUAAACGAUGUCUACUAGUUGUCGGGUCUUAAUUGACUUGGUAACGCAGCUAACGCGUGAAGUAGACCGCCUGGGGAGUACGGUCGCAAGAUUAAAACUCAAAGGAAUUGACGGGGACCCGCACAAGCGGUGGAUGAUGUGGAUUAAUUCGAUGCAACGCGAAAAACCUUACCUACCCUUGACAUGGCAGGAAUCCCGGAGAGAUCUGGGAGUGCUCGAAAGAGAACCUGCACACAGGUGCUGCAUGGCUGUC
rnacentral:rRNA from 1 species